rnacentral:rRNA from 1 species
UACGUAGGGUGCGAGCGUUGUCCGGAAUUAUUGGGCGUAAAGAGCUCGUAGGCGGUCUGUCGCGUCGAAUGUGAAAACCCGGGGCUCAACUCCGGGCUUGCAUUCGAUACGGGCAGACUAGAGUUCGGUAGGGGAGACGUGGAAUUCCUGGUGUAGCGGUGAAAUGCGCAGAUAUCAGGAGGAACACCGGUGGCGAAGGCGGGUCUCUGGGCCGAUACUGACGCUGAGGAGCGAAAGCGUGGGGAGCAAACAGG